AUACGGAGGGUGCAAGCGUUAAUCGGAAUUACUGGGCGUAAAGGGCGCGUAGGUGGUUUGAUAAGUCAGAUGUGAAAUCCCUGGGCUUAACCUGGGAAUUGCAUUUGAUACUGUCAGACUAGAGUGUGGUAGAGGUAAGCGGAAUUCCCGGUGUAGCGGUGAAAUGCGUAGAUAUCGGGAAGAACAUCAGUGGCGAAGGCGGCUUACUGGAUCAACACUGACACUGAGGCGCGAAAGCGUGGGUAGCAAACAGGAUUAGAAACCCCAGUAGUCC
rnacentral:rRNA from 1 species